rnacentral:tRNA from 1 species
GGGCCCGUAGCUCAACAGGUCAGAGCAGCGCCCUCAUAAGGCGAAGGCUGCGGGUUCGAGCCCCGCCGGGCCCACAA